UGGACGAAGUCUGACGGAGCAACGCCGCGUGAGUGAUGAAGGUUUUCGGAUCGUAAAACUCUGUUGUUAGGGAAGAACAAGUGCGAGAGUAACUGCUCGCACCUUGACGGUACCUAACCAGAAAGCCACGGCUAACUACGUGCCAGCAGCCGCGGCAAUACGUAGGUGGCAAGCGUUGUCCGGAAUUAUUGGGCGUAAAGCGCGCGCAGGCGGUUUCUUAAGUCUGAUGUGAAAGCCCCCGGCUCAACCGGGGAGGGUCAUUGGAAACUGGGAAACUUGAGUGCAGAAGAGGAGAGUGGAAUUCCACGUGUAGCGGUGAAAUGCGUAGAGAUGUGGAGGAACACCAGUGGCAAAGGCGACUCUCUGGUCUGUAACUGACGCUGAGGCGCGAAAGCGUGGGGAGCGAACAGGAUUAGAUACCCUGGUAGUCCACGCCGUAAACGAUGAGUGCUAAGUGUUAGAGGGUUUCCGCCCUUUAGUGCUGCAGCUAACGCAUUAAGCACUCCGCCUGGGGAGUACGGUCGCAAGACUGAAACUCAAAUGAAUUGACGGGGAAUCGAAUUCCCGCGGCCGCCAUGGCGGCCGGGAGCAUGCGACGUCGGGCCCAAUUCGCCCUAWGGGGNRGUCGUAUUAAA
rnacentral:rRNA from 1 species